rnacentral:lncRNA from 1 species
GAGGAUUAGCUGAUUCAAAUUUGCUACCUCUUCUCUCUCCUCUCCCUCUGAAGGCAGCCAGGGGCUAUGUCAUGGGUAUCCGGUGGCCACUUCGCAGAGCUGUCCGUGGGAAACAGAAACCUCCAGCCAGCCUUAUGGAAUGGAACUCUCCCGCCUUCUGCCACUACGGGCUCCCGUGAUCAUCAGAGUGGGAAAGCCUCAUCCUGAAGCACCAGGCAGAGCCAUCCUCAGUCCUGAUUCUCAGAUAGCUGCAGAUCUCGGUUUGCAUACAGUUCCUCACAGAAUCCGGGGUGUCUCCAGGCCGCUGAAGAUGAUAACAAGGGGUUGUGCAUUUGUCCGUGUCUCACACAGCCAACAGGGUGUCACCAAAUCUCCUCGUG